CACGUCAGCGCGCUUUGCUUACGUGGACACAAAUCGCGCCUACGAGGAUGCGAUUUUCUGACACAUCAGCAAAACGCGCUGACGUCC
rfam:Gossypium hirsutum cultivar TM-1 unplaced genomic scaffold scaffold842.1, whole genome shotgun sequence